GGCAGCGCUAGGUGGGGAUUUUUAGAACAGUGGGUGCACCUAUGUCGUGCAAAGCUAUUUUGCACAACGAAUGCACACCUUUGUCACGCAAAGUCAAUGACUUUGUGGUAUAACAUAAGAUUUUGUGGUAUCCACUUGUGUAAAUAUUUUAAAUUGACAAUCGAAUUAGUUCACUAUAUUCAUAUAAGAUCAAGGAGUGUAGCUGUAAAAAAUCAUCAAAAUCAGAGUUAAAAUAACCGUUAAAUCCGUGAUUUUUUGUUUAUAACUGUUGAAACGUUUUGUCCCAUUACUUGAUCUCUGAAUGUUUGUUUUUUGCAAUUUUGGGCGUAUGCGAUCUCAAAGCUAACAAGUUUGAUGAAAUUAGUUUCGUAGAAUGCGUAUCCCAUCAAAACAAUAGAUUCACUAACACUUAAGAGUUUAUUUAUACUUUCAUUAAGUAUAACAUAAGAUUUUGUGGUAUCCACUAGUGUAAAUAUUUUAAAUUGAAGAUUGAGUUCAUUCAUUGUAUUCAUAUAGGGUCAAAGAGUGUAGUUGUAAAAAAUCAUCAAAAUCACAGUUAAAAUAACCGUUAAAUUGUGAUUUUUCAUUUAUAACCGUCGAAAAGUUUUGUCUUAUUACUUGAUCUCUGAAUGUUUGUUUUUGUGAUUUUUGGCGUAUGCGAUCUUGAAGAAUAUAAAAACAAGUUUGACGGUUGGAUCAUUGAAAUUAGUUUCGUAGAAUGUGUUUCCCAUCAAAACAAUAGUUUCACUAACACUUGAGAGUUUAUUUAUACUUUCAUUAAGUAUAACAUAAGAUUUUGUGGUAUCCACUAGUGUGAAUAUUUUAAAUUGAAGAUCGAGUUCAUUCAUUGUAUUCAUAUAGGGUCAAGGAGUGUAGCUGUAAAAAAUCAUCAAAAUCAGAGUUAAAAUAAUCGUUAAAUUGUGAUUAUUCAUUUAUAACGGUUGAAAUUUUUUGUUCUGUUACUUAAUCUUUGAAUGUUUGUUUUUUGCGAUUUUUAGCGUAUGCGAUCUUGAAGUAUAUACAAACAAGUUUGACUGUUGGAUCGUUGAAACUAAAUCGUGAUUUUUCGUUUAUAACUGUCGAAAGGUUUUGUCCCAUUUCUUGAUAUUUGAAUGUUUGUUUUAUGCGAUUUUUGGUGUAUGCGAUCUUGAAGUAUAUACAAACAUGUUUAACGGUUGGAUCGUUGAAACUAGUUUCGUAGAAUGCAUAUCCCAUGAAAACAGUAGAUUCACGAACACUUGGAGUUUAUUUAUACCUUUAUUAAGUAUAACAUAAGAUUUUGUGGUUUCCACUAGUAUAAAUAGUUUUAAAUUGAAGAUCAAAUUCGUUCAUUGUAUUCAUAUAGGGUCAAAGAGUGUAGCUGUAAAAAAUCAUCAAAAUCAGAGUUAAAAUAAUCGUUAAAUUGUGAUUAUUCAUUUAUAACGGUUGAAAUUUUUUGUUCUGUUACUUAAUCUUUGAUUGUUUGUUUUUUGCGAUUUUUAGCGUAUGCGAUCUUGAAGUAUAUACAAACAAGUUUGACUGUUGGAUCGUUGAAACUAAUUUCGUAGAAUGCAUAUCCCAUCAAGUUCAAUAGUAUAUAUAUUUAUUAAGUAGCUUUAAAUUUAUUUAUUUUGUACGAAUAAUGCUUUAGAAAUUGAAUGGUAUGUAUAUUUAUUAAGUAGCUUUAAAUUUAUUAUUGUAGUUCGGAUCGGGUUUUUGUUAGAAAAUUAUAUUAUUGUGGGUUUAUGUAAAAAAAAUGAAUUUGAAGAGAGUAAAAUCACAUUUUCAAUAAAUUUUAUAAUAACUAUUUUUUUUUAAAUAUAACUUGCGUGACGCCACAAUAGAUUCGUUGCGCAAAAACACUUUGCACGACGUCAUAAUGUAUACUUGCAUCGCGCAAGUUGUUAAAAUUGUAGCGGUCUAGUUGUAAAAAAUAGGCGCUUAUUUUGAAUUUUCCCAAAUUACUCUGGACAAAAUGGAAAAGAGUCCUUCCUCCUC
rnacentral:lncRNA from 1 species